rnacentral:rRNA from 1 species
UACGAAGGGUGCAAGCGUUAAUCGGAAUUACUGGGCGUAAAGGGUGCGUAGGCGGUUCGUUAAGUCUGUCGUGAAAUCCCCGGGCUCAACCUGGGAAUGGCGAUGGAUACUGGCGAGCUAGAGUGUGUCAGAGGAUGGUGGAAUUCCCGGUGUAGCGGUGAAAUGCGUAGAGAUCGGGAGGAACAUCAGCGGCGAAGGCGGCCAGCUGGGACAACACUGACGCUGAAGCACGAAAGCGUGGGGAGCAAACAGG